CUAUGAUUAAUAUUAAUCAUGGCGGAAGGAG
rnacentral:ncRNA from 1 species